UACAGAGGGUGCUAGCGUUGUUCGGAAUCAUUGGGCGUAAAGGGUUCGUAGGUGGCUAACUAAGUCAGACGUGAAAUCCCUCAGCUUAACUGGGGAACUGCGUCUGAAACUGGAUAGCUUGAGUGCAGGAGAGGAACGCGGAAUUCCAGGUGUAGCGGUGAAAUGCGCAGAUAUCAGGAAGAACACCUAUGGCGAAGGCAGCUCUCUGGGACGGUACUGACGCUGAGACGCGAAAGCGUGGGGAGCGAACAGG
rnacentral:rRNA from 1 species